AAAGUACUCCCUCCGUCCCAAAAUUCUUGUCUUAGAUUUGUCUAGAUACGGAUGUAUCAAGUCACAUUUUAGUAUUAGAUACAUCCGUAUCUAGACAAAUCUAAGACAAGAAAUUUGGGACAGAGGGAGUAGUUG
rfam:Triticum aestivum genome assembly, contig: Triticum_aestivum_CS42_TGACv1_scaffold_093913_2AL